GAUGAAGAACGUAGCGAAAUGCGAUAAGUAAUUUGAAUUGCAGAAUUCCGUGAAUCAUCGAAUCUUUGAACGCACAUUGCGCCCCCUGGUAUUCCGGGGGGCAUGCCUGUCCGAGCGUCAUUGCAACCUUCAAGCGCGGCUUGUGUGUUGGGUCUCGUCCCCCGUGGACGGGCCCGAAAGGCAGUGGCGGCGUCCCGACAUGGUGCCCGAGCGUAUGGGAAUCCUCUUCCGCUCGAAUCGGCCCAUGCGGCGCUGGUCGUAACCAAAUUUUUUACCGGUUGACCUCGGAUCAGGUAGGGAUACCCGCUGAACUUAAGCAUAUCAAUAAGCGGAGGA
rnacentral:misc_RNA from 1 species